AUCUUAUGAUAGUGCCCUAGCUGUCAAGGGAUAAGUAGUGCAAGUUAUUUGGUCCUAUUUUUGUAGAGAAGAAAGCCCUUAUCCUCCACCAAGAUUCACACAAUGACAGAGUCCUCAUAUAGCAAAAGAGUUUAAAUGCUGAGCAGCCAUCAAAGUAACAAAUUUGCAUCCUAAGUGGCUAAUUAUUAUGUUUUUACUCUCUCUUCAGUGGUGUUCAGGUAGAUGGUAAAGAAGUGUCGUAACUGAAAAGUGGAAGUUAAAUCAAAGUAGGGAUUUGGAGACUUGGAUUGCAUAGUAGGAAAAGAGGAGAAAACAUUCUCUGCAGAGAAAUGACAAUGAGAUAAUCAUACUUGUGGCCAGGUGCAACGGCUGCCACCUGUAAUCCCAACACUAUGGAAGGCCAAAGCAGGAGAAUUACUUGAGGCCAUGAGUUCAGGACUAACCUGAGUAACAUAGCAAGACCUAAUUUCUACAAAAAAAAAAAAAAAGAAAAGAAAAGAAAAAAAAAUUAGCUGGGCGUGGUGGCACAUGCCUGUAGUCUUAGCUACUCCAGAGGCUCAGGCAGGAGGAUUGCUUGAGCCCAGGAGUUUGAGGUUACAAUGAUUGCACCACUGCACUCCAGCCUGGGUGACAGAGAAAGGCCCUGUCUCAAAGAGCAACAAUAACAACAACAAGAAAAAAAAAAAAAAAAAAAAAAAACGGAGAAUCAUACUUGCAAGACCUUUGCCCUGAAUCCACACAGAACCUUGAAUCAAUAUUCUAUUGAUCUCUUGUCUUUGUACUCCGGGCUUACUGGAAGCAAAUAUAUGUGAAAUGGAAAGAAAGGAACACUCUUAUUCAUAAAGAUGUUCAAUCCCCUGCAUACACGUAACCUAAGAGCAACAAUUAAACUCCCUCGAAAACACAUCAUGUAAGUCUUCUGCCAAACACCACCUUUUUGCCUCUUAAGAAUGUUAGGACUAGGCACAGUGGCUCACACUUGUAAUCCCAGCACUUGAGGAGGCCAAGGCCAUGGGAUGGUUUGAGACGAGCCUGGGCAACACAGGGAGACCUUGGCCCUUUAACAAUUAUUACUUGUACUCCUCUCUGAGAACAAAAACAAAAAUGCAGGCAAAUCUCAUUUAAUUCUACCUCUAGUCUCUUGAUUUCUGUAACCUUUCUAAAUGUGACUUCAGGCAUAAGUAUGUGUUGGGCAAAGAAUCCAGAGUUAACACAAGUUUGCUGAGGAUGAGAAUGUGGAGCCAAGCGGUGAGCUGGUUCAUGGGUAACCAGUUGCACCACACCUUUCAGAAAGGCAUGGUUGGGCCGG
rnacentral:lncRNA from 10 species